rnacentral:rRNA from 1 species
UACAGAGGGUGCGAGCGUUAAUCGGAAUUACUGGGCGUAAAGCGCGCGUAGGCGGCUUUGCAAGUCGGGUGUGAAAUCCCCAGGCUUAACCUGGGAAUGGCGAUGGAGACUGCAAGGCUAGAAUCUGGCAGAGGGGGGUAGAAUUCCACGUGUAGCAGUGAAAUGCGUAGAGAUGUGGAGGAACACCGAUGGCGAAGGCAGCCCCCUGGGUCAAGAUUGACGCUCAUGCACGAAAGCGUGGGGAGCAAACAGG